GGGGGCGACAUGGCUUCGACGCCGGUGACAAUCCCUGAGGUGCAUGCCGAGAGCGUAACGUAUCUCGUAAAUCAAACGUUACGACCAAUAGUCGCAAACGACGACAACUACGCUCAGGGCGCGCUGGCAGCGUAACAACUGCUAGCUUCUAGUCCGGCCCGGAGGUGAUGUGCCCAUUCAUCACCGAUGGGAUACGAGCUCAGAUUGAUGGGAUCGCGGCUGGCUUUGUCCUCGCGUCAGCCGCUAAAACUUAGAGGAAUCGCGUCGCUGGAUCCUGCCCGUCGGAGCCAGAGGCGCUAAAUUAAAAGACGGACCUAAGCAUGUAGAGCCGAUGGGUGAGUGCCGGCGGACGGGGGUUCAAUUCCCCCCGCCUCCACCA
rnacentral:tmRNA from 2 species